rnacentral:misc_RNA from 1 species
GCAAACUUGGUCAUUUAGAGGAAGUAAAAGUCGUAACAAGGUUUCCGUAGGUGAACCUGCGGAAGGAUCAUUAUCGUAUCUCUGACGGUGUGGGUGUGCCCAGCUCCGGCCCCAACGGCCGUGCAGCGGGCCUCCCGCGCUGCUCAACCCCUUGCAAACCCACUGUGAACCCUUCACGGUAGAGGGUGACGGCGAGAGCCGUUCCCGAAGCCGGAUUUAAAACACCAGUUUGAAACGAAUGCCUAGUGGACUUUGUCCGCCUAUGAAACAUGACAACUUUCAACAACGGAUCUCUUGGCUCUCGCAUCGAUGAAGAACGCAGC